GCCACGGUGGUCUAGCGGUUAGAACGCUGGGCUUGUAAUCCUGGGGUCUCGGGUUCGAUUCCCGGCUGUGUCC
rfam:Zootermopsis nevadensis contig12552, whole genome shotgun sequence.